GUGCUCGCUUUGGCAGCACAUAUACUAAAAUUGGAACGAUACAGAGAAGAUUAGCAUGGCCCCUCCGCAAGGAUAACCCCUUAGAGUUCUUCACACCCUCU
rnacentral:snRNA from 1 species